AUGGUACAAGAGGAAACUCGGCCGGAGGUUAACAUAGACAAGAAAAAGAUCCACCACCACUCGCCCACCGCCGACGGCGCCUUCCAGCGCCUCGCCGCUGACUUGCUCCUUCACCUGCUCCCAUCCUCCGAAGCCACCACCGCGCCGACGAGGGACCUCUCCAUCGCCUGGACGGGCCGCCUGAUCGACUCCUUCCUCAUCUGCCUCGAGGAGUUCCGCUCCAUGCUCCUCGGAUUUCCACUCGCGCGGCCCCUGCACGACCUCCUCGUUGCCAACUUCCUUGACUGCGCCAUCAAGGCGCUCGAUCUCUGCAACGCGCUGCGCGAGGGUGUGGACCUGCUCCGCCAGUGGCGCAAGCACCUCGCCAUUGCCGCUGCAGCGCUCGCUUCCACGCCGGGCGCCCCGCUUGGGGAGGGCCAGAUCCGCCGCGCCCGCAAGGCGCUCACCGACCUCACCAUCCGUAUGAUCCAAAUGCCUAUUAAUUUUUCUUCAUCCGCAGUGAGCUGA
rnacentral:rRNA from 1 species